rnacentral:rRNA from 1 species
UACGUAGGGUGCAAGCGUUAAUCGGAAUUACUGGGCGUAAAGCGUGCGCAGGCGGCUUUGCAAGACAGAUGUGAAAUCCCCGGGCUUAACCUGGGAACUGCAUUUGUGACUGCAUGGCUGGAGUGCGGCAGAGGGGGAUGGAAUUCCGCGUGUAGCAGUGAGAUGCGUAGAUAUGCGGAGGAACACCGAUGGCGAAGGCAAUCCCCUGGGCCUGCACUGACGCUCAUGCACGAAAACGUGGGGAGCAAACAGG